GAUGAACGCUAGCGGCAUGCCUAAUACAUGCAAGUCGAACGAGAUACAACUUUGUAUCUAGUGGCGAACGGGUGAGUAACACGUAUUUGAUCUACCCCCAAGUGGGGAAUAACAAUUGGAAACGAUUGAUAAUACCGCAUAUGACAUAAAUUCGUUUUUAUGUUGAAAGGAGCGUCAGCUUCGCUUGUGGAUGAGAAUGCGGCGUAUUAGUUAGUUGGUGGGGUAAAUGCCUACCAAGACAAUGAUACGUAGCCGAACUGAGAGGUUGAUCGGCCACAUCGGGACUGAGACACGGCCCGGACUUCUACGGGAGGGCAGCAGUAGGGAAUUUUUCGACAAUGGACGAAAGUCUGAUCGAGCAACGCCGCGUGAGGGAAGAAGGUCUUCGGAUUGUAAACCUCUGUUAUAAGGGAGAACAGUCAGAGCAGGAAAUGGCUUUGA
rnacentral:rRNA from 1 species